CAGGGAAUAUUGCACAAUGGGCGAAAGCCUGAUGCAGCAACGCCGCGUGAGGGAUGAAGGCCUUCGGAUUGUAAACCUCUUUUACAGGGGACGAGUAAGGACGGUACCCUGUGAAUAAGCAACGGCUAACUACGUUCCAGCAGCCGCGGUAAUACGUAGGUUGCGAGCGUUAUUCGGAUUUACUGGGCGUAAAGAGCACCGAGGUGGCUUCUUAAGUUGGAUGUAAAAUCUCCUGGCUUAACUGGGAGGCGCCAUUCAAAACUGAGGAGCUUGAGGUCAGCAGGGGAAGGUGGAAUUCCCGGUGUAGUGGUGGAAUGCGUAGAGAUCGGGAGGAACACCAGUGGCGAAAGCGACCUUCUGGGCUGCACCUGACACUCUAGUGCGAAAGCGUGGGGAGCAAAC
rnacentral:rRNA from 1 species